UAUCAUUCGCUGGUUAUGAGUGGGUAAAGACAUCUUGACCUUGACUAAAGAGGCGCGAGCAAUCAACACGUCUUAUAGUGCAGCAAAUUGGAUUCGUUAGUGUAUGAUGAAAUUUGACAAAGUUACGAAUUAUCUGUUCUCACGAAUAGUCUAUUGCAGCAUUCAAAUUCAUUGUAUAACGUUGCCAGGGUGCAGGCCUAGUUGGUGAAGAGUCGGUAAAGACGCUGUGAACUGUGUUAUUUCUAAGAAAGUAAACAAAAUCAAAUAAUACGAAAAUUGACACUAUUGAAAGAGGAAGACCGAAGAAGGAUGAACAUGACAUGAAGAAUUAAAGAUUUAAAGUUCGCGUUAUCUGUUAAAACAAUCUAGAAUAACGCAGUUAUAACGAUGUUGUGGUUAUCAACCUUUCGCCCGCUAGCGCGUUAUCUUAU